rnacentral:rRNA from 1 species
UACGUAGGGACAAGCGUUGUCCGGAAUUUAUUGGGCGUAAAGCGCGUGUAGGCGGCCAAGUAAGUCUUACGUGAAAUCCUGAGGCUCAACCUCAGCCUGCGCGGGAUACUGCUUUGGGCUAGAGUCCGGGAAGAGGAGAGUGGAAUUCCUGGUGUAGCGGUGGAAUGCGCGAUAUCAGGAGGAACACCGUGGCGAAGGCGGCU